rnacentral:rRNA from 1 species
UACGGAGGGUGCAAGCGUUAUCCGGAUUCACUGGGUUUAAAGGGUGCGUAGGAGGGCAGGUAAGUCAGUGGUGAAAUCUCCAAGCUUAACUUGGAAACUGCCGUUGAUACUAUCUGUCUUGAAUACCGUGGAGAUGAGCGGAAUAUGUCAUGUAGCGGUGAAAUGCUUAGAUAUGACAUAGAACACCAAUUGCGAAGGCAGCUCGUUACACGAAUAUUGACUCUGAGGCACGAAAGCCAGGGGAGCAAACGGG